AGUGAACGCUGGCGGUAGGCCUAACACAUGCAAGUCGAACGGCAGCACAGUAAGAGCUUGCUCUUACGGGUGGCGAGUGGCGGACGGGUGAGGAAUACAUCGGAAUCUACUUUUUCGUGGGGGAUAACGUAGGGAAACUUACGCUAAUACCGCAUACGACCUACGGGUGAAAGCAGGGGAUCUUCGGACCUUGCGCGAUUGAAUGAGCCGAUGUCGGAUUAGCUAGUUGGCGGGGUAAAGGCCCACCAAGGCGACGAUCCGUAGCUGGUCUGAGAGGAUGAUCGGCCACACUGGAACUGAGACACGGUCCAGACUCCUACGGGAGGCAGCAGUGGGGAAUAUUGGACAAUGGGCGCAAGCCUGAUCCAGCCAUACCGCGUGGGUGAAGGAGGCCUUCGGGUUGUAAAGCCCUUUUGUUGGGAAAGAAAAGCAGCAGGUUAAGACCCCGCUGUUCUGACGGUACCCAAAGAAUAAGCACCGGCUAACUUCGUG
rnacentral:rRNA from 1 species